rnacentral:rRNA from 1 species
GACGAACGCUGGCGGCGUGCCUAACACAUGCAAGUCGAACGGAGUGGCGAACGGGUGAGUAACACGUGGGUGACCUGCCCUGCACUUCGGGAUAAGCCUGGGUAACUGGGUCUAAUACCGGAUAGUGUGGGAUGGGCCCGGGGCCUACCAGCUUGUGGGUGGGGUAAUGGCCUACCAAGGCGGCGACGGGUGGCCGGCCUGAGAGGGUGGACGGCCUCAUGGGGCCUAAGGCACGGACCAGAGUGCUACGGGGGGCAGCGGUGGGGAGUAUGGCGCAGUGGGCGGAAGCCUGAUGCGGAGGCGCCGGGUGGGGGAUGACGGCCUUCGGGUUAUAAACUCCUUUCACCAUCGACGCGGUAGAUGGAGAGGAAGCACCGGCUAACUACGUGCCAGCCGCCGCGGUAAUUC